rnacentral:lncRNA from 1 species
CUCCUUGACAAUAACAACAUAUUAGUUGUUAUUUCAUCUACUUUUUUUUUGACAUCUUAUGUAUUUGAAGAUUUUUUUUCGUCAAAUAAUCGAUCACAGAUAUCUUUUGUUUCAAAGCGUUAAACAAUAUCCUGAAAUUCAUUACAUGACGUCACAAAGUAUGUCGGUUUUUAGAUAUUCUAAAAAUAACCGUGCAAUAUGCUUUUUGCCGGUCAAUAUGCUUUUUGCUAUCCGCCGUUUUCUCUCUACCUUCGAAAAUAUAGUUUAACAUGUGACUAUCCCUAAACGAAUCAAAUUUGUUAAAAUAUACGAAUUAAUAAUAUUUUUAAAUA